UUGUCCCUCCAGGCCUCCAGUUUUGAGUUUCUCUGUGAUCACAACUUUGACUUCAACAAGUUUGUAUAUGAAGGUGUGCCUUACCUGGAUCAGGACCAGGAGAAACACCUGAGGAAACACCUGGAGCAGACAAGCUGGCCUACAGCAGGUGGCAGUCAGCAGGACCAGGUCCAGUCAUGCUGCUCUGAAGUGUCCCAGUGGCUCAGCAAUGGUUAAGACACUGAGCUGAACAUUCCUGUACCAAAAGGCCCUUCGAGGUUCCUGAUCCAUCGAGCUCUGAGGACACGCUUCCCAGAGGUCUGGACAUAUGAUACAGCAAAUUCACAGCUAGCUGUGAGGAAAGUAAGUGAGGAGAAAAGAAAAGAGGAGGAAGAGAGGGAUGAUCUAGCAGACAGAGCCCUGGAGUACAUGUUGGGGUUCAGCCAUGUGUUCAGAACCCUGACCCAGACCAGGAAACCUGUUGUAGGACACAACAUGCUGAUGGACCUCAUGUUACUGUAUGGCAAGAUGUACAAACCUCUGCCAGGU